rnacentral:rRNA from 1 species
CCUACGAGCGGCAGCAGUGAGGAAUAUUGGUCAAUGGACGCAAGUCUGAACCAGCCAUGCCGCGUGCAGGAAGACGGCUCUAUGAGUUGUAAACUGCUUUUGUACGAGGGUAAACGCAGAUACGCGUAUCUGUCUGAAAGUAUCGUACGAAUAAGGAUCGGCUAACUCCGUGCCAGCAGCCGCGGGAAUAAGGAGGAUUCAAGCGUUAUCCGGAUUUAUUGGGUGUAAAGGGUGCGUAGGCGGUCGGAUAAGUUAGAGGUGAAAUCCCGAGGCUCAACUUCGGAAUUGCCUCUGUUACUGUUCGGCUAGAGAGUAGUUGCGGUAGGCGGAAUGUAUGGUGUAGCGGUGAAAUGCUUAGAGAUCAUACAGAACACCGAUUGCGAAGGCAGCUUACCAAGCUACUUCUGACGUUGAGGCACGAAAGCGUGGGGAGCAAACAGGAUUAGAUACCCCUGUAGUC